AGACUGACUCGCAAGCACGUUGUGGAUUUCUUGUGAAGUUGUCAACAUCAUGGGAAAACUAAAUGUAACUGUGCUUCGUUACUUGUCGAAGGAAGAUUUCAGAGUUCUAACUUCGGUUGAAAUGGGAAUGAAAAACCAUGAGUUGGUUCCUUCUCCUCUUGUGGCGUCUAUAGCACAUCUUCAUGGAGGAGGGUGUCACAAAGUUCUGAGAGAGCUCAACAAACACAGACUUGUGGCCUAUGAGCGCAGUGGAAAAAGAUUUGAGGGAUAUAGGCUCACUGUGUCUGGUUAUGACUACCUCGCACUGAAAGCUCUAGCCAGUCGAGAUGUGAUCUACUCACUAGGAAACCAGAUAGGAGUGGGUAAAGAGUCAGAUAUUUACAUAAUAGCAGAUGCAGAGGAUCAUCAAUAUGCAUUGAAACUUCACAGGUAAUAUCAUUUUCCCUGUGAUUUAUAUUACUAAGUUCAGUUUUCCUUGAUUUUUAAGCUAGAAUGUUAUAUUUGUUUGAGAGACUUGUAUAAGUUGUCAAGCUGAGGAAACAGUAAUUUUUUGUCAAAAACUGAAAAUUUGUUUUUGGAAAAACAGUACUGUAGUACAACUUCAAUAUUUUAUUUGACUGUACAGAAGGAUGAUGCACCUAAAUGAACAAUUAUGUUUUCCUUUCAUUGAUUAGAUUAGGGAGAACAUCGUUUAGACAACUUAAAAACAAGAGAGACUACCACAAACACAGGAACAAUGUGUCCUGGUUGUAUCUGUCCCGUCUGGCUGCAAUGAAGGAGUAUGCUUAUAUGAAGGCACUCUAUGAGAGAAAGUUCCCUGUUCCUAAACCAGUGGACUUUAACAGACAUGCAGUUGUUAUGGAACUCCUCAGUGGUUACCCUAUGUGCAAUGUGAAGAGUGUGGCUGAUCCAUCGCAGGUCUACCACGACUGUAUGGAGUUGAUAGUGAGGCUUGGAAACUGUGGAGUGAUCCACGGCGACUUCAACGAGUUCAAUCUGAUGAUCGAUGACGAGGGGAACGUAACCAUGAUCGACUUUCCUCAGAUGGUCUCCACAUCUCACUAUAACGCUGAAUGGUAUUUCGACAGAGAUGUUACAUGUAUAAGGGACUUUUUUGCCAGAAGAUUCAACUAUGAAAGUGAACUUUAUCCAAAGUUUUCUGACCUAAGAAGGGACGAUGACUUGGAUGUGGAAGUUUCAGCUAGUGGGUUUACAAAAGAAAUGGCUGACACUUUCGAUGAAGCUGCUGAAGAAUUUAACAUCAGAGGUGGUCCUGGAAAUCCCAAAACUGAUGAACCUGAAGAGGAACCCAAUGAAGAGAUUGAGGAUGAGGAGGAUGAGGAUAAUGAUAGUGUUGAGGAAGGAAAGGAGGAAGAGUCUGUAGUGGUGACUCCAUCUCCUCCUCCAGUGGAGGACAGACUGAGUCCUCCAUUAAAUGAAACAUCAACAGAGAAUGAAAAACAGAGAGAUUUAGCCACUGGACUAGACAGGGCUGUUGAAGCAAGUAAUACUGUGAGUGAAAAGGAUGAGGGCAGUGAUGGUAGUGAGGAAGAUUUGGAGGAUCUCCAUAACCAAAAUAGAACUCUAAGGCCAUUCAGAAACGAGGAGAGUCUUGCACACACAAACUUACACAGGAGGAAGCAUUUGGACAGUACAAGCCUUAGUGUGACCAGUACAACAUCUAGUAUGGAUCCCAGACUUAUUAAGGAAAAAGUGAAGCGACAAAUGAAGAAGAAGGCUGCAGUCCAGGAAUCUAGGAGGAUACGAAAAAGUGGAGAGUCUGCUAUCAUCACCAAGAAAAAGAGGGAAAUAUCUCAGGAUAUAAAGCAAAGUGUUGAUUCUGACUGGUUUUAGUUUGAAAAAAUUGUUACCUUAUACAAGUUGAUCAUUAUAAAAGCAAGCUGAAAAUAAAGUUCAAGAUUUUUUGAAAUU
rnacentral:misc_RNA from 1 species